rnacentral:rRNA from 1 species
ACGGUAGACUACUUUCGGGUAGUUGAGAGUGGCGCACGGGUGCCUAACGCGUAUGCAACCUACCUUGUACAGGGGGAUAGCCCGGAGAAAUUCGGAUUAAUACCCCAUAGCAUUACCAGAUGGCAUCUGAAGGUAAUUAAAGAUUUAUCGGUACAAGAUGGGCAUGCGUGACAUUAGUUAGUUGGUAGGGUAACGGCCUACCAAGACUAUGAUGUCUAGGGGUUCUGAGAGGAUGAUCCCCCACACUGGUACUGAGAUACGGACCAGACUCCUACGGGAGGCAGCAGUAGGGAAUAUUGGUCAAUGGGCGAGAGCCUGAACCAGCCAUGCCGCGUGCAGGAAGACGGCCUUCUGGGUUGUAAACUGCUUUUAUACGGGAAGAAAAGACCCUUGCGAGGGAGAUUGCCGGUACCGUAUGAAUAAGCACCGGCUAACUCCGUGCCAGCAGCCGCGGUAAUACGGAGGGUGCAAGCGUUGUCCGGAUUUAUUGGGUUUAAAGGGUGCGUAGGCGGGCCUUUAAGUCAGUGGUGAAAGCCUGCAGCUUAACUGUAGAACUGCCAUUGAUACUGGAGGCCUUGAGUGUACUAGAGGUAGGCGGAAUUUAUGGUGUAGCGGUGAAAUGCAUAGAUACCAUAAAGAACACCGAUAGCGUAGGCAGCUUACUGGAGUACAACUGACCCUGAGGCACGAAAGCAUGGGGAGCGAACAGGAUUAGAUACCCUGGUAGUCCAUGCCCUAAACGAUGAUUACUCCAUGUUGGCGAUACACUGUCAGCGUCCCAGCGAAAGCCUUUAAUAAUCCACCUGGGGAGUACCCUCG